rnacentral:lncRNA from 1 species
CACAAGGCUGGCAUCUAUAGGGGAGGACAGAUGGGCUUCUACCAUAGUGAAGGAUGCAUAUUUACUUGAUCUGCUUCCUAGGGAUGUCAGCUCUAGGACGACUAGAGCUGCUUCUUCUGUCCAGUCAGAAUCAGAAGAAACCUAGGAGCAGACACAAGCAGCAGAGCGGUUUCCUGAAAAUGGAUGCACUUGUCCACGUCCAUUCCCUCCUUAGCACACCCAGUGCAUCCUGAACACAGCACAGAAGCCAAGCAGGAUUGGGUCUGACUAGCCCCCAGCUUAUGUCCAUGGAUGUCUGUGGUCUGUAUUGCUCUUCCCGAUCUGCUGCUCAGUCCAACUCUUGGUGCACAGUGUGUGCUCAGUAAAGUUUUCUUGGCCAAUUCAACCCAUCAAACGAGUGAAGAAGGAGGGUGCUAUCUGUUGUGUAGGUGGUUUUUUUUAGUUAUAUCUCCCCCCCCCCCAUUAUGGUCAAAGAUGGUCAGUCUUCAUUUUGUGUCCUGUAUAAUUUACUGUUCACAAUCUGCAAUGUUUUCAAAACUAUGAAUUAAACAUGGCCAAUUAGAGCUAUCUGAGAACCUCUUAAAAAUUAUUUGGGAACUUCAGGUGUUGCCCCAAGAAAACUGAUGUUUAACUAUUUAAAAAAAAUGAAAAUUCAUAUAAAAACACAACCGACUUAACACACAUGUUGAAA